CAGCAGCCGCGGUAAUACGUAGGUGGCAAGCGUUGUCCGGAAUUAUUGGGCGUAAAGGGCUCGCAGGCGGUUUCUUAAGUCUGAUGUGAAAGCCCCCGGCUCAACCGGGGAGGGUCAUUGGAAACUGGGAAACUUGAGUGCAGAAGAGGAGAGUGGAAUUCCGCGUGUAGCGGUGAAAUGCGUAGAGAUGUGGAGGAACACCAGUGGCGAAGGCGACUCUCUGGUCUGUAACUGACGCUGAGGAGCGAAAGCGUGGGGAGCGAACAGGAUUAGAUACCCCCGUAGUCCCUGUCUCUUAUAC
rnacentral:rRNA from 1 species